rnacentral:rRNA from 1 species
GUACACUCCUACGGGAGGCAGCAGUGGGGAAUAUUGGACAAUGGGCGCAAGCCUGAUCCAGCCAUGCCGCGUGAGUGAUGAAGGCCCUAGGGUUGUAAAGCUCUUUCACCGGUGAAGAUAAUGACGGUAACCGGAGAAGAAGCCCCGGCUAACUUCGUGCCAGCAGCCGCGGUAAUACGAAGGGGGCUAGCGUUGUUCGGAUUUACUGGGCGUAAAGCGCACGUAGGCGGACUAUUAAGUCAGGGGUGAAAUCCCGGGGCUCAACCCCGGAACUGCCUUUGAUACUGGUAGUCUUGAGUUCGAGAGAGGUGAGUGGAAUUCCGAGUGUAGAGGUGAAAUUCGUAGAUAUUCGGAGGAACACCAGUGGCGAAGGCGGCUCACCGGCUCGAUACUGACGCUGAGGUGCGAAAGCGUGGGGAGCAAACAGGAUUAGAAACCCCAGUAGUCCCAUGAU